UAGGGAAUCUUCCGCAAUGGGCGAAAGCCUGACGGAGCAACGCCGCGUGAGUGAUGAAGGUCUUCGGAUUGUAAAACUCUGUUAUUAGGGAAGAACAAACGUGUAAGUAACUGUGCACGUCUUGACGGUACCUAAUCAGAAAGCCACGGCUAACUACGUGCCAGCAGCCGCGGUAAUACGUAGGUGGCAAGCGUUAUCCGGAAUUAUUGGGCGUAAAGCGCGCGUAGGCGGUUUUUUAAGUCUGAUGUGAAAGCCCACGGCUCAACCGUGGAGGGUCAUUGGAAACUGGAAAACUUGAGUGCAGAAGAGGAAAGUGGAAUUCCAUGUGUAGCGGUGAAAUGCGCAGAGAUAUGGAGGAACACCAGUGGCGA
rnacentral:rRNA from 1 species